rnacentral:rRNA from 1 species
GAUGAACGCUGGCGGCGUGCCUAAUACAUGCAAGUCGAGCGAACAGAUGAGGAGCUUGCUCCUCUGACGUUAGCGGCGGACGGGUGAGUAACACGUGGAUAACCUACCUAUAAGACUGGGAUAACUUCGGGAAACCAGAGCUAAUACCGGAUAAUAUAUUGAACCGCAUGGUUCAAUAGUGAAAGACGGUGUUGCUGUCACUUAUAGAUGGAUCCGCGCCGCAUUAGCUAGUUGGUAAGGUAACGGCUUACCAAGGCAACGAUGCGUAGCCGACCUGAGAGGGUGAUCGGCCACACUGGAACUGAGACACGGUCCAGGCUCCUACGGGAGGCAGCAGUAGGGAAUCUUCCGCAACGGGCGAAAGCCUGACGGAGCAACGCCGCGUGAGUGAUGAAGGUCUUCGGAUCGUAAAACUCUGUUAUUAGGGAAGAACAAAUGUGUAAGUAACUAUGCACGUCUUGACGGUACCUAAUCAGAAAGCCGCGGCUAACUACGUG